GAAGGUAGAAAAAUUAAAUUAAUAUUGAUUUUUUUUGUUAAUUUUCGAAAAUAUGAAAACGUAUGUAAGUAUAAUUGUUUGUGCUACUUUAUCAUUGGAUGGAGUUUGGUCUAGUGGUGAUUGUGUGUGGAUGGGAGGGUUGUGUGCUUGGUCUCAAGUUCAAACCCUUCCAAGUCCAAAAUGAUUCUUAGCUCUUUUUAAU
rnacentral:lncRNA from 1 species